rnacentral:ncRNA from 1 species
UUAAAGACGAUGACAGGAAUAGUACGCGGUAUGUCCAUAGCACAGAGAGCCGGGUCUGGUGUAAACCGGUCUGAGAACGUCCGCCGAAUGCCUCCCUGGAGUUGUAAGGCCGAACAAAGUAGGCCAUUCCGCUGCCCGGCGUUAACGGGAUUGAGUGAGUCCGGUCGCGAACUGGCUAAACUAGGUGGUACCGCGGGAAGAUAAUCCCGUCCUGGCG